rnacentral:rRNA from 1 species
UACGGAGGGGGCGAGCGUUAUUCGGAAUUAUUGGGCGUAAAGGGCGCGUAGGCGGCCUUGCAAGUCAAAGGUGAAAUCCCUCGGCUCAACUGAGGAACUGCCUUUGAAACUGCACGGCUUGAGGCCGGGAGGGGGUAGCGGAAUUCCCAGUGUAGCGGUGAAAUGCGUAGAUAUCGGGAGGAACACCGAUGGCGAAGGCAGGUCUCUGGGCCACUACUGACGCUGAGAAGCGAAAGCAUGGGGAGCGAACAGG